rnacentral:rRNA from 1 species
AUUGAACGCUGGCGGCAGGCUUAACACAUGCAAGUCGAGCGGGGUGAUGGUGCUUGCACUAUCACUUAGCGGCGGACGGGUGAGUAAUGCUUAGGAAUCUGCCUAUUAGUGGGGGACAACAUCUCGAAAGGGAUGCUAAUACCGCAUACGUCCUACGGGAGAAAGCAGGGGAUCCCUUGUGACCUUGCGCUAAUAGAUGAGCCUAAGUCGGAUUAGCUAGUUGGUGGGGUAAAGGCCUACCAAGGCGAGGAUCUGUAGCGGGUCUGAGAGGAGGAGCAGCCAAACUGGGACUGAAGCAAGGCCCAGACUCCUACGGGAGGUAGCAGUGGGGAAUAUUGGACAAUGGUGUGAACCCUGAUCCAGCCAUGCCGCGUGUGUGAAGAAGGCCUUAUGGUUGUAAAGCACUUUAAGCGAGGAGUAGGCUCUUUUGGUUAAUACCCAAGAUGAGUGGACGUUACUCGCAGAAUAAGCACCGGCUAACUCUGUGCCAGCCGCCGCAGUAA